ACCCUAGCUUUCAAUGCCCCCUAUUCUAAAACGUGCAGCUGGGAGGCCAAUGACAAAAAGAUACAAAGGAUGGGAAGGAGGAAAGGGAUGUAGAAUGGUCACAUGCAAACGUUGCCAUCAAAAGGGCCAGAUGAAAAAAAUUUGCAAUGAGACCGUGCUUGAUCCUAAUGUACCUCCACCUGCACCACCUAAACCGAAGAGAGUAAGGAACAGGAGCAAGAAAGCAGUUGAAGUUCAACCACAAUCUAAACAGACUGAAGCACCAUCUACACACAUUGAAGCAUCAUCUCUGGAUAUUCAGACUACACCUCGAAAGCCCAGGCUCCAUCCAUGGAUAUUAGUAGCCCAAUGCCAAGAAGCGGCAAGCGGUAAUCAGAUCUUGAUUCUGCGACAAUACAGGGAAUGUGCACACCAACAAAACAACUUGUUUGUACAAUUGAUACCAUCAAUAGCCCUAUGACAAGAAGCCGCAAGAAACAAUCGGGCUAGAUGCAGCUGAGUCGAAAGUUGCUGCUCAGACUAAAGCCAUGAAGAAAACAAGUCACAAGUUGGAGGUCAAAAUGGCCAAAAAGUAAAGUUGAAUAUGGUUUGCUGUAUGUAAUACAGGACAUAUGCCCGGUCUGUUACUUUUGCUAGUUGAACUUGAACAUAAACCUAUGUUUUAAACUUGCCAUUUUGCGGGUUGUUGUGUUGAUUCUG